rnacentral:tRNA from 1 species
AGGGUUGUGGCUCAGUGGUAGAGUGCUAGCCUAGCAUGCAUGAGGCUCUGGGUUCAAUCCUCAGCACCACUU